GCCUGGAUAGCUCAGCUGGAUCAGAGCGUGGUGCUGAUAAUACCAAGGUUGCAAGUUCAAGCCCCGUAUGGGACA